rnacentral:rRNA from 1 species
UACAGAGGGUGCAAACGUUGCUCGGAAUCAUUGGGCGUAAAGCGCACGUAGGCGGCCCAGCAAGUGGGGAGUGAAAGCCCUCGGCUUAACCGAGGAAGUGCUUUCCAAACUACUGGGCUUGAAUACUGGAGAGGGUCGCGGAAUUCCCGGUGUAGAGGUGAAAUGCGCAGAUAUCAGGAGGAACACCCAUGGCGAAGGCAGCACUCUGGACCGGACCUGACGCUGAGACGCGAAAGCGUGGGGAGCGAACGGG